UACGUAGGGCGCAAGCGUUUGUUCGGAGUUACUGGGCGUAAAGGGUGUGUAGGCGGUUCUUUAAGUUUGGUGUGAAAUCUCCCGGCUCAACUGGGAGGUGCGCCGAAUACUGAGGGACUAGAGUACGGGAGAGGAAAGUGGAAUUCCUGGUGUAGCGGUGAAAUGCGUAGAUAUCAGGAGGAACACCGGUGGUGUAGACGGCUUUCUGGACCGUAACUGACGCUGAGACACGAAAGCGUGGGUAGCAAACAGG
rnacentral:rRNA from 1 species